AUCCUCACCAAAUUUAUUUAUCGAAAAUCGAAUUUACUGUACUUAUUUCUAGUUAGAGCGAAUAACACUAGAUUUUCAAGGUUGGCUAAUAUAUGUAUGUAUGUAUGUAUGGAUGUAUGUAUGUAUAAGGGCCGACGAAUUUGAAUUUCAAAACCGAUUAUACAACACCAAAAUAAAAGAUCCUUCGACCAACCUCCUCCCUUGGAACGAAACCUGCUGAGGCAAUUAAAGCUAAGCGUUGCCAUUGAUUACGUCCUGCAUGUGCCGGCGAUACCAAUCCCCCACUGGCGUCCGCAGCACACAAACAAACGCGCCAUAGCACCAGUCAAGCACGGUCCGGGAGGAGCGGCGAGCAUGCGCAUUGCAGCUGUUAAUGGCCGGCACAGUUUGCUCGAGAUUCAACCGUCUCGGGCCACCAAAGCUCUCGAUAAUGCGCAUCGCAUCAAAGCCAAUGCCAUCCUGCCAUAACUGUAGGCGCGUCCAGAAGCAGUAGACAUAACGGUGAACAUACGCAGUCAUCUCGAGCACGGAGAAUUGCCAGCGAUUGGGCGGACCUUGCUGAUGAAGUCGGCGUAGGCACUGCAAGCAACAGGCAGUCACGUGUCAGCAGUGCGAACUGCGGAAAAUAAAACUGGUGUUAAAUAUUUAUCGUUAUCGAUAACAACUUGCUGAGCAAAUUAACGGAUUUUGUGGGGACCCAAAUAAGUAUGCAUCACCGACAACAAGAUCAGCCUUCGUAUUAUUGUCAUCUCGGGUCCACCGAUGGAGCCGGACUGAGCGCAACAUGUGGAUAAAGGCAUACAGCAUCUGUAAAUUGCUGAUUGCGCUUAUCAAGAAUCAGCAUCAUGAACAACAGCGUUGAUGGCCAUUGUUAUUGCCCCGCAAACCCCCACUUAGCCCCCUCCCCCCGCACCCGAACCCAGACGACUGCAGCAGGAAUGACGUCAGCCAUUUGGCAUUUGGCACGUAACGUACGUAGAUGAAGCCAGAACCGUAUCCAGUUGGGGGUAGGCAAUAAUCGAAUUGGAUUGGAUCGGAUUGGAUUGGCAGUCACAGCUGCCGCUCGUCAUCUGUUUUAUGUUAACACAUAAGUCGGGCAUAUAAUAGAGGUAUUCACAAACUGUGUUCAUGUGUGUUGUGGAUGAUCGUCUAUGCGGAUCAUGUGCAUAUGGAACGCAGCGGCAACAUUUUUGUAAGAUUCCACACUUGUAUUUGCUUGUAAACAAGAAUUUUUCGGUUUUCUCCUUCUUUUUAAAUAUUUUUCCUCAGCGGAAGCGUUGACCACAUGAUACUGUGGCUAGGAUGCACAUGGGCCAAUGGAGCGAAUGCGCAAUGUUCAAUGCUUGGCCUGUGACAAGGCUGGAGAGCGGAUGAGUCUUGGGAGUGUGGUGCGGCCGGAUUAGGGCGACAAUUUUUGACAUGGCCGAUGACAUAGCGAUGGCG